rnacentral:rRNA from 1 species
GGGUGCGAUCAUACCAGCACUAAUGCACCGGAUCCCAUCAGAACUCCGAAGUUAAACAUGCAUGGGCGAGAGUAGUACUAAGAUGGGUGACCUCUUGAGAAGUCCUCGUGUUGCACCCU